rnacentral:misc_RNA from 1 species
GCACAAUGCUUCCCAAUCGCCUCAAGGGCGGGUGCCCCAAUGUUUUUACAAAAGCUUAAAUCCAAAAAAGUUACAGCAGAAAGCCUCUCAGCAACCUGUUCUACAAUUGAAUUUGUUAUUUCGCUUCUUGGUACCCGUAGAGUAUGAAGAGCUUUGCCAUGUUCUGCAAUCAGGGACAAACUAGAGUCAUUAGGGAGACAACUAAUGCAAAGCUUGCGAAGGUAACCAGAGCUCCUUGACAUCAACAAUUGAAGCAUUUUAUUAACGCUAUCAGGAUCUCGAAGUACACUCCAAUCCAUAAUGUCU